AGUUCGGAUUGAGGGUUGUAACUCACCCUCAUGAAGCUGGAUUCCGUAGUAAUCGCGAAUCAACAACUCGCGGUGAAUAUGCCCCUGCUCCUUGCACACACCGCCCGUCAAACCAUCCGAGUUGGGUUCCAGUGAGGCCGCCCCUGAUUAGGGUGUUCGAACUGGGAUUCAGCAAGGAAGGUUAAGUCGUAACAAGGUAUCUGUAGGGGAACCUGCAGAUGGAUCACCUCCU
rnacentral:rRNA from 1 species